rnacentral:rRNA from 1 species
CACGUAGGGCGCAAGCGUUGUCCGGAAUCAUUGGGCGUAAAGAGCGCGCAGGCGGUCGUUCAAGUCGCGUGUGAAAGCCCCCGGCUCAACUGGGGAGGGUCACGCGAUACUGAUCGACUCGAAGGCAGGAGAGGGUAGUGGAAUUCCCGGUGUAGUGGUGAAAUGCGUAGAUAUCGGGAGGAACACCAGUGGCGAAGGCGACUACCUGGCCUGUUCUUGACGCUGAGGCGCGAAAGCUAGGGGAGCAAACGGG